rnacentral:lncRNA from 1 species
AUAAAGAAAAUAGAAUAUAUUAUUAAAUUUUAAAUUUAAUAAUAAGAAAAGUAUAUUUGUUAGUACAUAUAUUUUGCCAAUUUUGGCACGUGACUCGUGAUUUUUUGUUUCAUGGUGAUUAAAAAUCGUUCGCUGAUUCUCCGCAUGGUGCUCUCUAUUCCGUAUGGCUAAUUCUGUUAUUGUGACGAUGAGAUUUUCUCUCAGUAAUCGAAUAUCUAAUUUAUUUCAACUUUGAUAGACAUUACAAAUGUAACGAAAUAGGAUUAAAUUCCUUCCCGUAGCAAGGAAACAUGGAAGGAGUCAAAAGGAAAAGCGUAACUACGCGUGUAACUCUUCGACCGGAACUAUCAUGGGCCAUGUGGCGGCAUAGACUGCGGUCGUAACCAUAAAGCUUGGAAACACAGGCAGCAGAUACAAGUUAACUUUCUGUCUCUUCUUGCUCAAGUAACCAUUUACUAUCAGAGCGGACAAGAAUAACACAUAUGCUUUUACCAUUUCUAUUUUUUUAAUUACAUCACAUUUAAAAUUUAAAAAAAUUUCUUUUUUUUUAUUUAUUAUGAUAAUUUUUAUAGCACAAAAUUAUAAAAUAAUUGCAUUUAUUUAAAUUUAAAAAAUAUUAUAGUAUUAUUUGAAAACUGUUUUGUUUAUUUUUUUUAAUGUUUUAUUAUAUUAUGUAUAUUAAUUAUCAUAUUUGAGAUUUUAAAAAAAUUUUUUAAAUGAAUUUCUUAUUUUAAUAAUAUUCUAUAUCAAAUAUCAAUCAUCGAAGAUAAAAUAAAUAUUUUUUUUGGUAUUAUAAUGUAAUUCAUAGUUUCAAAAAUUGAUUAUUUACUAAAAUCAAUUAAUAAAAAAGAGUAAAAUAAUACAAAAAUAUUAAUAAAAAGAAAAACACCUUAAAUAUCAUACUGCAAUUAUAAUACAAAUAAAUACAAGUCCUUUAUUUCCUUAAUAUGAUCUUAAUUACACUAUAUCAUUAGCUAUUAAUCAUCCAGAACAUCAAACCAGUCUUAAAAGCGUGGAUCGUUAAAAUUUUGUCUAGGUUUAUCAACAAUAUUGUGCAACUGACGUCCAAGUCUGGGAGAUGGUGUCCAAGGUACUCGACGUCCUAGACGUGAUGCAAACAAAGAAAAAAUAAUCAUCAUCAAAAUGAACGCAAACUGAAUAAUGGAUAUAUAUUCGUGAAACAAUAAAUAGAUGUAUUUUAAAUAUACCUGGAAUCGUGACAAUGGCCCAAUGUGGUUCUUCAAAUGCGUUGGCGAGCGCCUCAAUAUCAGAAUUAAUCUCUGGUUUUCGAUCCGCUCUGCGUCUUCGUCCAAGUCGGGGGCCAAACCACAUACCACUAGUGAUAUCCUGCGAAGUACGUUUGAUACACUUGCCGUCGGUGCACGAACCAAACUCGUUACUUGGUGCUCUGUCAUUAUUCGAGCUACUUGGUGAAUCUCUA